rnacentral:rRNA from 1 species
ACGACCACACCCACUGGAGAACUCGGGAUCCCGUCCGCUCUCCCAUAGAUAAGCCAGUGAGGGCCGGAUUAGUAGUUGGGUCGGUGACGACCAGCGAAUACCUGGUGUUGUAUGUG